rnacentral:tRNA from 1 species
GGGCCCAUAGCUCAGCUGGCAGAGCGGCCGGCUCAUAACCGGUUGGUCCCUGGUUCGAGUCCAGGUGGGCCCA